CCUACGGGAGACUGCAGUGAGGAAUAUUGGUCAAUGGACGAGAGUCUGAACCAGCCAAGUAGCGUGAAGGAUGACUGCCCUAUGGGUUGUAAACUUCUUUUAUAUGGGAAUAAAAUGUUCCACGUGUGGGAUUUUGUAUGUACCAUAUGAAUAAGGAUCGGCUAACUCCGUGCCAGCAGCCGCGGUAAUACGGAGGAUCCGAGCGUUAUCCGGAUUUAUUGGGUUUAAAGGGAGCGUAGGUGGAUUGUUAAGUCAGUUGUGAAAGUUUGCGGCUCAACCGUAAAAUUGCAGUUGAAACUGGCAGUCUUGAGUACAGUAGAGGUGGGCGGAAUUCGUGGUGUAGCGGUGAAAUGCUUAGAUAUAACGAAGAACUCCGAUUGCGAAGGCAGUUCACUGGACUGCAACUGACACUGAGGCUCGAAAGUGUGGGUAUCAAACAGGAUUAGAUACCCGAGUAGUC
rnacentral:rRNA from 1 species